rnacentral:misc_RNA from 1 species
GCACAUCUGGUGCGGCCAACCGACAUGGGGCUGUCUCUUCACUCUCCCUCCCGUCAUUUGAUUUGUCGGGGUGGGAUGCUCGUGAUCGGUUGCCUGUGCGGCUCUACCCUGCUGUGGGUAGCGAAGUUGUCCCUCGAUUGAUAUUUGCUUGCCUCUCUGACAUUUUUUUGUCGUUUUGGCAGCCGAAAUGAUGGCGAAAUCCCUGUGCAGGUGCGUGGUCGAAUGUCCCCGUAGCUGUAACUUGGAAUUUUGCUGGCUCUCACGGACGCAGUGCCCAGUGCUGGCUCUGCGUGGCUUUGCCCCGCAGACUUCGGGAGGUCCCUUGUACGAAUCACUGCGAUCAGAUGCCGUUUGUCGUGUUGCUUGUUUGGCACGCAAAUCGUAUUGUUCUGUCCGGAGUCGGGAUGACGAAAGUCAGAACGAAGUGUCUGGGGCGUGCUUGCGUACACGGGGAAUGCCUCUCCGAUCGUACGAGCAGCGAUUUCCGGCUCGCGUCCUGCGAAGGCCCGCCCGUCCGGGCCGGUGCCGGAGCUGACGCGCCGGGUGUCGUU